GAUGAACGCUGGCGGCGUGCCUAAUACAUGCAAGUCGAGCGAACGGACGAGAAGCUUGCUUCUCUGAUGUUAGCGGCGGACGUGUGAGUAACACGUGGAUAACCUACCUAUAAGACUGGGAUAACUUCGGGAAACCGGAGCUAAUACCGGAUGAUAUUUUGAACCGCAUGGUUCAAAAGUGAAAGACGGUCUUGCUGUCACUUAUAGAUGGAUCCGCGCUGCAUUAGCUAGUUGGUAAGGUAACGGCUUACCAAGGCAACGAUGCAUAGCCGACCUGAGAGGGUGAUAGGCGACACUGGAACUGAGACACGGUCCAGACUCCUACGGGAGGCAGCAGUAGGGAAUCUUCCGCAAUGGGCGAAAGCCUGACGGAGCAACGCCGCGUGAGUGAUGAAGGUCUUCGGAUCGUAAAACUCUGUUAUUAGGGAAGAACAUAUGUGUAAGUAACUGUGCACAUCUUGACGGUACCUAAUCAGAAAGCCACGGCUAACUACGUG
rnacentral:rRNA from 1 species